rnacentral:rRNA from 1 species
AGAGUUUGAUCCUGGCUCAGGACGAACGCUGGCGGCGCGCCUAACACAUGCAAGUCGAACGGAGUUAUUUUCUUCACUCCGAGCUUUUUGCCAGUUAGCCGGAGCGGCAAUCGGUUUUGCCCAGCAUAAAAAGCAAAACCGAUUUAGGCUCAUAAAGUAAGACUAACAAAGAGGGCAGAGAGUUGGGAGUGAAGAAAAUAACUUAGUGGCGAACGGGUGAGUAACGCGUGAGUAACCUGCCCUGGAGUGGGGGACAACAGUUGGAAACGACUGCUAAUACCGCAUAAGCCCACGGCCCGGCAUCGGGCUGCGGGAAAAGGAUUUAUUCGCUUCAGGAUGGACUCGCGUCCAAUUAGCUAGUUGGUGAGGUAACGGCCCACCAAGGCGACGAUUGGUAGCCGGACUGAGAGGUUGAACGGCCACAUUGGGACUGAGACACGGCCCAGACUCCUACGGGAGGCAGCAGUGGGGGAUAUUGCACAAUGGGGGAAACCCUGAUGCAGCGACGCCGCGUGGAGGAAGAAGGUUUUCGGAUUGUAAACUCCUGUCGUUAGGGACGAUAAUGACGGUACCUAACAAGAAAGCACCGGCUAACUACGUGCCAGCAGCCGCGGUAAAACGUAGGGUGCAAGCGUUGUCCGGAAUUACUGGGUGUAAAGGGAGCGCAGGCGGACCGGCAAGUUGGAAGUGAAAACUAUGGGCUCAACCCAUAAAUUGCUUUCAAAACUGCUGGCCUUGAGUAGUGCAGAGGUAGGUGGAAUUCCCGGUGUAGCGGUGGAAUGCGUAGAUAUCGGGAGGAACACCAGUGGCGAAGGCGACCUACUGGGCACCAACUGACGCUGAGGCUCGAAAGCAUGGGUAGCAAACAGGAUUAGAUACCCUGGUAGUCCAUGCCGUAAACGAUGAUUACUAAGGUGUUGGAAGGAUUGACCCCUCUAAUGGCCGCAGUUAACACAAUAAGUAAUCCACCCGGGGGGUACAACCGCCAGGUUGAAACUCAAAGGAAUUGACGGGGGGCCGCCCAAGCAGUGGAGUAUGUGGUUUAAUUCGAAGCAACGCGAAGAACCUUACCAGGUCUUGACAUCCGAUGCAUAGCGCAGAGAUGCGUGAAGUCCUUCGGGACAUCGAGACAGGUGGUGCAUGGUUGUCGUCAGCUCGUGUCGUGAGAUGUUGGGUUAAGUCCCGCAACGAGCGCAACCCUUAUUGCCAGUUACUACGCAAGAGGACUCUGGCGAGACUGCCGUUGACAAAACGGAGGAAGGUGGGGAUGACGUCAAAUCAUCAUGCCCUUUAUGACCUGGGCUACACACGUACUACAAUGGCGUUUAACAAAGAGAAGCAAGACCGCGAGGUGGAGCAAAACUCAAAAACAACGUCUCAGUUCAGAUUGCAGGCUGCAACUCGCCUGCAUGAAGUCGGAAUUGCUAGUAAUCGCGGAUCAGCAUGCCGCGGUGAAUACGUUCCCGGGCCUUGCACACACCGCCCGUC